rnacentral:rRNA from 1 species
GGUUGAUCCUGCCAGUAGUCAUAUGCUUGUCUUAAAGAUUAAGCCAUGCAUGUCUAAGUAUAAGUAUUAUACAGCGAAACUGCGAAUGGCUCAUUAAAACAGUUAUAGUUUAUUUGAUAAUGACUUCUACAUGGAUAACUGUGGUAAUUCUAGAGCUAAUACAUGCUGUCAAACCUGACUUUUCGGAAAGGUUGUAUUUAUUAGAUAUCAAACCAAUGGCCGCAAGGUCUAUUGUGAUGAUUCAUAGUAACUGAUCGAAUCGCAGUCCUCUGCGAUAAAUCAUUCAAGUUU